rnacentral:rRNA from 1 species
GGAUGAGCCCGCGGCCUAUCAGCUAGUUGGUGAGGUAACGGCUCACCAAGGCUUUGACGGGUAGCUGGUCUGAGAGGACGACCAGCCACACUGGGACUGAGACACGGCCCAGACACCUACGGGUGGCAGCAGUCGAGAAUUUUUGACAAUGGGGGAAACCCUGAUCGAGCGACGCCGCGUGGAGGAUGAAGGUCUUCGGAUUGUAAACUCCUGUCAUUGGGGAACAAGGUGCAUACGUUAACUGCGUGUGUAUUGAUAGUACCCGAAGAGGAAGAGACGGCUAACUCUGUGCCAGCAGCCGCGGUAAUACAGAGGUCUCAAGCGUUGUUCGGAUUCAUUGGGCGUAAAGGGUGCGUAGGCGGCGCGGUAAGUCGGGUGUGAAAUCUCGGAGCUUAACUCCGAAACUGCAUUCGAUACUGCCGUGCUUGAGGACUGGAGAGGAGACUGGAAUUUACGGUGUAGCGGUGAAAUGCGUAGAUAUCGUAAGGAAGACCAGUGGCGAAGGCGGGUCUCUGGACAGUUCCUGACGCUGAGGCACGAAGGCCAGGGGAGCAAACGGGAUUAGAUACCCCGGUAGUCCUGGCAGUAAACGGUGCACGUUUGGUGUGGGAGGAUUCGACCCCUUCUGCGCCGGAGCUAACGCGUUAAACGUGCCGCCUGGGGAGUACGGUCGCAAGAUUAAAACUCAAAGAAAUUGACGGGGGCCCGCACAAGCGGUGGAGUAUGUGGCUCAAUUCGAUGCAACGCGAAGAACCUUAC